GCUUGAUUGUUGUUGUUGCAUGAUAAAGUAGGAAUAGAACUAGCUAAUGAAAGAAUAGGCAAAUAAGUGCACAUGUAACUGAAAUAUAUAGAAGAUAGAAUUGGCAGGAGAAAGCAAAAUAAGAGACUAAUAUGUCAAAUCAUGUACAUAUAUAUUCAUGUAAAAAUAAAAACCUGAGAAAUCAACCAACAAAUUUGCAUUUAGGUAAAUCUAUCGGAACAACCUUGGUACAGAUCUCUUUGGCACUUUGCCUUCAAGCUUUAGUCUUCUAUAUGCUUCUCUUAUGUGGCAAGGUCUGAUUGGCCCAGAUUCCUUCCUCUCUGUCAUUACCAUUCUGGCUGGAAACCAUAGUAACCAAAUGAAAAAUGGCAGAAGAUUGAGCUAUUUAAAUUUCUAUAUAAAAAUUUUCAUGCACCCUAAACCACACAAAAGAUUACUUUUUCUCAUGCAUUUCUCAAGGAGUUAACUGCAAGGUGCUAGAAGUUAAUUCCAUGCCAUAGUUGUUUAAAGGUGUAUCUGGCCCCCGGUGCUGGAGUCACCAGCCCAAGCACCUCAAUCCACAAAAGGUGGGCACGUUUCAUCAAGCAGCCACCUUAAGCCAGGUGAAAGGCACAUGCCUAGGCAUGCCUACCUACCAUUUUUUCCUGCAUCCAUCUCUCUAUCUAUUGAUCAUCCUUUUAUAUUCUUCUCCACUCAACUUUCCUUUCCUUUUGUUCCAGCUCCUUCCAGUCUUCCCUUCUUCUAAAAAGAAAAUUUUCUUCAUCAUUUUUUUCCCUUAUUUAUUCUUCUCCUACUUGAUCUAAAAAAUAAUGAACCACGACACCACCCCCAACCCCUUUUUUUUCUUCGUUCUUUAGAGUCUCCGCUGCCUGCCUCUUGGUCACUUUUUUGUUUCUUUCUCCUUCCUAGAUGCCUCUCAGACCCCAUUUUCUGGAUGCUUUUUUUUUUUCUUUUCUGAAUGCUUUUCAAGAGUAGAAAGAAGAUGAAGAAGAAGAAGAGAAUUGAUAAAGAGAAUAUGUUGUGCGUGAUAAUGAGCAGUUGGCUCAGGGUUGUUUUACAGAUUAUUUGUAGGAUUAUGGUUUUAAGUUUUCUAAAAUCGUUAUUUUCAUUUUUAUUUUAGAUUUCAAAAGCAAUGUAGCUAUGAUUCUGAUUGUUUUAUGUUGUAAACCUGAGUAAUCUUAUAAGAGAUAGUUGUCUUCUAUCAUUAAAGCUUGAUCUUAAAUUUUAUUUUUUUUGCACCUCACCUCUAAUAGGCAUGCGCCUACACCACACACUUUGUGUGCAGGCUCUAGGACCUCUCUGUGCCUCAAUGCACCUUACAUCUUUACUAUGGUCUAUGGUCAUAGAGACGAAAGUUACUACCCUUCUCAUUUACAUGGUAUUUGGAUUUACAAGUGACAAGCAUUAUUAUUCUGGAAAUGAAAUUAAAGAAAACAAUAAUAUU
rnacentral:misc_RNA from 1 species